GGGGAUUUAGCUCAGCACCUGCCUUGCAAGCAGGUGUUGUGAGUUCAAUCCCCG
rnacentral:tRNA from 1 species